rnacentral:lncRNA from 1 species
GCAAGUCACUUUACCUCUCUGUGUUAAGUUUCUCAUCUUCAAAAAUGAGCUAAUGGCAAUAGGAAUGGCUAUGAUGCCACAUGCCAAGGACUUAUAUGCCAUAUACUGUGUGUGUUAUCAUCUCGAGGGUUUAAUAGGAGGAGACUAUGGCCCAGAGAGAUGAACAAGCAGCAGGAAGUAGCAGAGCCAGCCUCUGAACCCAGGUCUAUCCAUUUCUACCAUGUUAACCUGCUUUGCAGGGCUGUAGUGAGAAUUUAAAUGUGGAAUUUAUAUUAUUCUCUUCUGGCAGUUUGGCCUGGAUCCUGGUGGGUGAGCUUUCCCUCCUACUAACAGGGGAAGCAGGGAAAGGCAUUUUCAAUUAUUAGAAACAUCCUUAGUUAGUGGGGUAUGAAAUGAAAAUAGCCCACUAGAAUACAAGCUUCAGAAGGGAAGAGGUCUCACCUGUCUUGAGUCUGUUGCUCACAUAAUUCCUGAUAUAUAGUAGAUGCACAAGCAAUAUGAAGAAAUGUAAACAUGUGUACACCUCCUACCUUCAUUAUAAGAUGGAUUCUAACACAGAGUCAUUUUUCAUACCAACCGUGCAAUUACCAGGCAAGUGAUGCUAAUUACUAGUUCUCAUGACCACUAUUGAGUUUAAUUCAAGAGUUUUAUUGGAUCCCCUGAAGCUCCUACAACCCUCUAAAUCAUGGGGAUUCAAUAACAGUCUUUUUAUCAGUAUGUUCACAAGAUAAAUUGAGUAAACCAGCUUAAUGACUCAUCUUCAUGACUUAUGACGUUAAGAAUAAGAUGGGGGGAAAUGACAAAUGUGAUAAAAACUGAUGGCUCUGAGAAAAUGUCAUGGGCAUGUGGUUCUGAAUGCUCUCCCAUGUGGCUCUAGGGGCCUCAGCAACCUUCAGUCCCGUGUCCACCCUCACUCCGCUUCAAUAAUCAAUUUGUUCUUAUCCAAAGCAUUUUUGAGGACCUUGUUACUCUUCUUCUCUGUGUUAAUCAGGCACACAGGCCUAAAAUAUCAAAUCCUAGGCAGAUGCAUGAACCCACAGGACAGCAACAUCGGGAGGGCAGAGUAGAGGCAGGCUUCAGUUCAAAGCAGGCAUAGGCUUGGAGAGGGAAACUGGGAAAUGAAAACAAGUUGUCUAUAUAGACUCUCUCCCUAGAAGUCCAUUUAAAGAAAAUAGAAGCUCAGUAAAAUCAAAAUCCAUGGGCAGUGGUGCCAUGCAAAGAGCAAAGACCUGAAUCUGAGUCUUGGAUCAGUGAGCGUCUUAGCUUUGCCUCCAAGCUCCAGUUUCCUCCACUCUAACUGGGGACGUAUUCUCUCCUCUCUCCUGGUUUCCUCCAGUUUCUCUGAACAUUCUUUUCAUUUUGGUUGUGAGUUCUUCUGCUGCUCUCUCCUGCACCCUUGGUAGGUUCUAUGCUGACUUUUAUUUUUCUCCUCUUAUAUGCUCUUGUUGGAAAGUCUCAUCCUUUUGUGAAUCCAACUGCUGCCCACGUGGGGUGAUUCCCAGGUUUAUGUCACCAGUCCUGCCUUCUCUACUACUCUUUAAAUUUGAAAACAAGGGCCGGGUGCAGUGGCUUAUGCCUGUGAUCUUGGCACUUUGGGAGGCCAAGGCAGGAGGAUCACUUGAGGCCAGGAGUUUGAGACCAGCCUGGGCAAUAUGACAAAACCUCAUCCCUACAAAAAAUACAAAAUUAGCUGGGCAUGGUGGCAAGCACCUGUAGUCCCAGCUACUUGGGAGGCUGAGGCAGGAGAAUCACUUGAACCCAGGAGGCAGAGGUUGCAGUGAGCUGAGAUCGCAUCACUGCACUCCAGCCUGAAUGACAGAGUGAGACAGUCUCAAAAAACAAACAAACAAAACCCAACUUUGGGUCACGCAUCCAUCCUUGACCAAUUAGCUGUAGCUAGGGAAGUGGAGUCCUACGGACACAGCAAACCACCACGAGAAUCAUGGAGAUGAAUAGGGGCAGGAUAAUUUACCAGAGGAAGCCUAGAGUGGAGUGCUGGACAGACCACCAUGUGGAGUUGCCAUCUGAGGACAUUGCUACUUGGAUACCCCCACAGGACGCCCAGCCAGGCAUGAUGACUCACAUCUGUAAUCCCAGCACUUUGGGAGGCUGAGGCAAGAGGAUUGAGGCCAAGAGUUCAAGACCAGCCGGGGAAGCAUAUCCAGCCGAGCUGCCAUCUCUUCAAGGAAGUUUUCCCUGAAGCCCUCAGGUAGACCCGUUUUUCCAUGGCGGCCACAUCAGCAUGCAGCACAUUUAAUUGGAAGUCUCCACAUAUGAGUUGGUUUUCCUUACUUAAAAUAUGCUUAUCAUCCCUUGGAGGUCUGAUGCAUUUUUCUGUCUCUGCAGACCAGCUCCUCCCCCCUCCAAAUCUCAAUGGAAGAAUGCGACAUUCUGGAUUCAGCUACCCAAAGAGGGGUUUUUUCCCCCUCUUUGUCUCUAUUAUACAUUUUAUAGGAAGGAAUUCUGUCCCAGUUAAUUCAAACUGGGACCAGAGGAACAGGGUCCCGCUGCUCAAAAUGGCUGUCACCCGUGGGUAAGGGGAGCAGUCAGAGAGUCAUUGUGACUGGGGUGGCAGUCCCACUCCAAUCUGCCUUGUGGCUUCCUAGCCUGCAACAUACAUCCUCCCAGACAUACAAAAUGUGCCUCUGCCUGAGUCUUCCUGGCAGGGAGUUUGGUACCCCCCAACAUUGGGAGGGGAGCUUACAACACAGGACUAUCUCUUCCCAUAGAUAAUCUCCUCACAAAGCUCCACUCAGGACCACUUAUAUUCUUGAGCACUUGAAAAUAUUGGCUAUUUCCUUCUGACCCCCAUGGUUUCUUUUAAAAAAUUUGCUGUUGUUUGAAUUAUUUUUCUCUACAGGUAUUGACUGCUGCCUCAUGAAGGCUGGUCCUGUCUCUAUAGUGAAUAUUGUGCACCUCAGGGUAGAAUGGAGAGCAGAAGACUUCAAAUCAGGCAGUCUGGGUUCAGACCCCAAUUCUAGUGCUAAAUAGCUACGUGACUUUAGGCCGAUUGUGUGUGACUUCCCUGAGCCCCAGUCUCUUUGCCUGCAAAAUGAGAAAAAUUAUAACAAUGUCAUCGGUUGUUCUGAGGAUUCUGAGAGGAAUUAGUAGGAGAGAGAACUAAGAAGCUGCGGGCCUCUACAGAGCCAUUCAACUGGCAUUUCGGAAGAUGUUGCCCAUCAGAGUCAGACCUUCUUAGCAUCUUCCGGCUGGGCCCAAACUUCCCAAGACCAUUUGGACAAGGUCAUCUCUAUCCCACCAUGGCCUCCUCCCAGAGGAGGAGAAGAAUCAUGCUGUUACAGCAGAACCGAAGAUUUGGGCAAGGGAGCUAAUGAUUAUGUUCUGCGUCAGGUCAGAGAUGGGCUGGGAAAGCCACUCCAAAGCCAAGACAAGCAGUUUCCUGGAAAAAGAAGGCUGCGCGGAGCCCAGAGUGGCCUGGAUCCUGCCUCAUUUCCUGGACCAGCUCCUUAGGUGGUUACUGGAUUGCCAAUAAAGCAGAGCUUAUUAAAGUCAACGAGCUCAGGCUUCAUCGCCGCCAUGGUAUCCAAGCACCAGUCUGUCUGGGAUUUCAUUUGCCAGAUGGACAAAGGAGAGGUUGUUCCAAUACAUAUCCUGAGUGGUGGGGGUGGGGAGAGAAGGGGAAGAAUGCUCUCUAGAGAAUUCUCUUUGUCCUCUGAAGUAAAUAGAGAUCAUGUCUUCCCCAGCCACACUCAGUGAUCUGAAUCUCUUGGACUGUGGAUUUUUCCUUUACCUGCUGUGAAGCCUUGAAAAGUAUGAAUUAGCUUGAUAAUGAUCCUCUAAAGAUGUUCAAGAGUUAAAGACGUGUUUAAGUUCUUCAGGCAAUCCAAUAUGACUACGGGUUUCCAAAAAUUUGAAGGAAACUGAAAAUCAUAGUUCCCAAACCAGAUAUUUUCCGGUGUCCAGAUGUUCACUGGCAUGCAAACCAAAUGUCUGGAUUAUGAGCUCCUUUUUUCAUUUCUUUUUAUCAGCUUACAUCCAGAUGUUGGAUCCAACUGGUCAGAGGCCUGGGGCAGAGACAGAAAUCAAAUCUAGGGUGUUCAUCUAGAGUCUCCUGCUCCUCCAUUCCUGCUUCCUCCUCACGCUGCCCCCACAUCCUCCCCAACUCACCUUCAUGCUACAUCUCGGCAAAUACAGCUCAUAUCCAGGCACGGUGCAGCCCUUGACAGCUGGGUCCGCAAAGGCAGAUCGGGUAUAUCUUUAAAGAAAAGUUAUCUUAACCAUUGAGAAGCCUUCCUUCCUCAGAGGAGAGCACCUCCCCAGCAGACCUCCGAGGAGACCAAGGGCAGGACAGGAAGGGUGAAAGGAAGUUUCAGGACUGCAGGAAAUAAGAGCUUGGAGGUCAAGGGAGAGAUCAGAUAAAACAUGAAUCUGAUCAGCAUCCUAGUGGUCUAGAGUGGAGACAAUCUGCGGAGUCAACCUCAGUAAGGACACACAUAGAGAAGAACCAAAGCCUCUAAAGACGAAGCUGAGAAGUGUACGGUCGUAGAAGACUCGUGUCUGUUAUUCUUAAAAGCUCAAGGAGAUGUUCUGCCAAUUGAAUGGAAACUGUCCAUAGUGGGGAGCAGAGAGCCUCAUCUUUUCUGGAACUGAACAUCCAUCCUUAAGGCCAGAUUUCUCCCAUCACCAACUUUAACUCCUGCCCUAGCCCUCUCUCUUCCUUUUCAAAACCCUCUCCACCCAGGAAGGGAGAUUCUGGAGCCAAGACUGUACCAGCCACACCUCCCCAGAGUUGUUAAGGAAGGAACUCGAAGCCAGGGGUGGUCUUCUGGCAAGCACCCCCACUACCAGUAGCAGGACAGAUGUGUUUCUAAUGGACUACACUAUCCCCGGAGGUCACAUGAUUCAGGCUGCCAAGGGUACCUGCCCUUGGGAAAUCAACUCCCGAAGAUAAAUUGGGAUUGGGUCCUGAGAAGAUCCAUGGAAGCCCAGAGGACCCUGCCUCUCUCUGUUGCUUCAUGCUGUAGAGGCAGUACUGGGGAGGGCCUGCCCCACAUCCGGCAGGGCAGCUGGAACCAUGUGUUUGAUGACACUCUGCUCCCUCAAUGUGGAGCCUCAUCCUCAUCUCACAGUCUAGCAGGCCUCUGGUGGGUUAGGCUUGUCUCACCCAGUGUGUGAGUUUUUUUGGAAGUGACCUGAUUUUGGAGUUUCCCUCCAAGCCUUUCUCAGGUACAUGCUUUCUCUUUUAUUCUGUCUUCUUUUUUUGAUCUUCUUAAAUCUGAUUUUCUCCUUUUUCCCUCUCUUGUCUCCAUCUUUUUUCCAGUCUCUCGCUUCUCUUUAUUUCUCCCCAUAUUUCACUCUGUUCUCUCACCCCAACCUUUCCCUUCUGUUUCUCUCCCUCCCUCUCUUCCCACCCCCUGCCUGGCCUUCCAUAUAUCAAGCAGAGUUUUAUCACCUUAUGCAGGGGCAGCCCUGCCACCUGCCAUAAAGUUGAUAGGCUAAUGACAUUUUGUGGAUAUUGCCAUGUCACAAGUCCAGGACAGCAUCAAAAAUAGCCCUGAUGUCUAAACCACUUCAGCUAUCUUUUUUAUUUUUAAAAUAAAUACAUUCACAUGCUUUUAAGAAACUAUAAAAAUAUAUAAAGUAAAAAGAUCUUUCUCUCACACUGUCUCCACCUCUCCUGGUCUCACCGUUGUGCUUAGGGGAAACCAUUGUGAUUAGUUUCUCCUGUGUCCUUCCAGAGUGUCUUUAUGCAAAUGAAAAUUAUUGUGAUAAUAUAUUCCUAUUUUCCCCCUUACUACACAAAAGAUAGACUACCAUAAUCCCAUUCUGCACUUUUUUUUCACUUGAUAAUAAAAACAUGAUUUUAUUAA